rnacentral:rRNA from 1 species
GAGGAAUAUUGGACAAUGGAUGGAAGUCUGAUCCAGCCAUGCCGCGUGCAGGAAGACGGCCCUAUGGGUUGUAAACUGCUUUUGUAUGGGAGCAAUAAGAUCUACGUGUAGAUUGAUGAGAGUACCAUACGAAUAAGCACCGGCUAACUCCGUGCCAGCAGCCGCGGUAAUACGGAGGGUGCAAGCGUUAUCCGGAUUUAUUGGGUUUAAAGGGUGCGUAGGCGGUUUGAUAAGUCAGCGGUGAAAUAUUUCAGCUUAACUGGAAGGGUGCCGUUGAUACUGUCGAGCUUGAAUUUAGUUGCUGUGGGUGGAAUGUGUGGUGUAGCGGUGAAAUGCAUAGAUAUCACACAGAAUAUCGAUUGCGAAGGCAGCUCACAAAGCUAAUAGUGACGCUGAUGCACGAAAGUGUGGGGAUCAAAC